rnacentral:rRNA from 1 species
AUUGAACGCUGGCGGCAGGCUUAACACAUGCAAGUCGAGCGAGCGGCGGACGGGUGAGUAAUGUCUGGGAAACUGACUGAUGGAGGGGGAUAAGUAAUGGGAACGGUAGCUAAUACCGUCUUCCAGCGGAUGUGCCCGGCUGGGAUUAGCUAGUGGGUGGGGUAAUGGCUCACCUAGGCGACGAUCCCUAGCUGGUCUGAGAGGAUGACCAGCCACACUGGAACUGAGACACGGUCCAGACUCCUACGGGAGGCAGCAGUGGGGAAUAUUGCACAAUGGGCGCAAGCCUGAUGCAGCCAUGCCGCGUGUGUGAAGAAGGCCUUCGGGUUGUAAAGCACUUUCAGCGAGGAGGCGUUACUCGCAGAAGAAGCACCGGCUAACUCCGUGCCAGCAGCCGCGGUAAUAC